UUUAUUUGAACAACCCAAAGCUUCUGAUUUCCCAGACUUUCAGGCCCAAUGAAUCAAGCCUAAUAAUAAGCCAACUCCCAGCUCAAGCAACGAGGAGUGCCUCAGAUCGAACCCAGGCUGAAAAUCCAAAAUUCGAGCAUUGGAGGCCAUGGGCUUUAAGCGUAGCCCAGCGACCUCAACCCGUUGGAAAUAUGUGGAAGGCCAUCAAACCCCCGCCGUAGAAAAAUGAAGAAGUAAUAUUUAAAGCAAAAAAUUAUUGAAAAUACUUAUGCACUGAGUUUAUACCAUGUUAUAAACAAUAACGAAGAAGAGCUUCAUAUUUGAAAAUCAUGGUAGAAUAUUAAUAAUUAAUAAAAUUAGCAAGAAAACUCACAGAUUGAGCUCCAAUUCUUAAAUGACACUUAUACCCAAAUUAAAACAAGGCUUAAAUUGAUGCAUCUCCAACAUACAUCCAACGAGCACGGAUGACCAAGGUGAUUGCAUUUCAUCCCCAAAUUGUGGUUAUAUCAAGAAUAUUUCAAGAGUGUACCUGGAAAUUGGAAUGUAAAUAGAGAAGGAGAGGUUAGCUGCAGUAAAAACUUAGCAGUAGCUCGAAAAAUAGAUUAUAACUCAGUCACAGUAAGUGAAGUAGUAGCACGGUCACACCGAGGUUCAACAAUUCAGAAGAAAUGAGUUGAAAAGCAAAGAAAAUCCAAUAAAUAAACCCAAGCAGCCUUAAUUUAGUCCCAGAAUGACUCGAACAAACAGACUAGAGCAGACCUCAACCCUAAGCACCCAGGCAACAAAAGAAAUAGAUUCAGAUUCGAGUGUAACCAGUGUCUAACCCUCAGCUACCCAUUGUUGAACUAGGAAUUCAAAAUAAAUUACCCAAACCUUGAAAUUAGACCAAAGAUAUCAAUGAAAUAGUAAUUUUUUUUGUGUUUCUGUAUUUGUUUGUUUUUUUUUUUUGUGUUUUGGGAUUUGAAUUUCUACCUUAGAUUUCGAAGAGACUAAUCUAAGAGAGAAGUUCGAAUUACAAAUUGCAAAAAUCUGGAGAUCUUAAAAUUAGAGUGUCAAGAGUAUUUCGAGGCUAAUAUUGGCUGAAAAAGAGAAGACCCUUUCACAAGGAAAUGCAAUACCUAUUUAUAGGUAAACAAGCAAAUCUUUUAUUUUCUUUUAGUCCCUCAUUUCUUUUAUGUUUACCCCCACUAUUUCCAGCUUUCCAUACAAGUAAGUGCCUCACAUUAUAAAAAAAAUACAAUUUAGACUUUGUUCUAAAAUAUUCUAGGAAGUUCUACUGGUUGCUACUAGGAUUGUUUUAUGAGAAAAUCCUAAACUGCCCCCUCUUCUUAAUUUGAACUACCUACCUCAUGUCAAUUAAGCCAAGCUUUAAUUAGUAGACUACUCUAUCAGGAAAACUACUCAAUUAACUACCCUAAGAACUUAUUCGAAUAACUCUAACCACCUAUAACUAAAGAAAAUCUACUGAAGCAAACAAACUGUGUUACCUGAAGCAAAAAAUAAAAACCUUUACAACCUACAAAUUUAACUAAUCAGUAAGUAAUGUAAUAGAAUUAGAACAAAGAUUAAUACUAACAUAGAAAAUUUGAAGGACAUCUACUUAAUUAAAGCCACUCAAUUAGAAGCAACGAUCAGACUAAAUUCUAAUCUUGAUUGAAAUAAGAUGAAAGGGAUUAUAUCGAACAAAUAACAGAUGGAACCAAAUAAACACAAAACAAAUACAAUUAGACUCUAACUAGUAAAACAACUAAUUAACUACAAAGAACUGCUUAAAAAACCUGAGGAAAUUUACUGAUGAAAAUAAAACCCCGGCUAGUCGUGUUAUUCUCAAAUUCGUCCAUGCCUAGGGUCAUUUGAGCUUUAUUGACGAUCCGUUUCUUACAAGGGAGGUACGGGGACCCUUUGACAUCAACGUCAUGCACUGUAACCAUUUUAGGGUUUUGGCAGGGAAAAUUGAAUUAGAUAUUCGAGCCGUUCCGGCCACAUUCGAGCCAAACGGCUAUGGGAUUUGUGUAGAGGAUGCUAGGGCGGUCCUAUGGUAUUAUUUUGGGGGUGAUUGGGUUAACCGGAGACAUGGCCAAAAAAUAUCUUUAUGAAUAUUCGAGAAUAUUCCGUGAGGUUUGAGGGAAGCCAAAGACGGAAUGGGAAGAGGAUGACCUGGGGAUUCGUGGUGUUAAUUUGGGGAUGUUUGGAGGCGGUGUCAUUUACCGGCGGUGGCUCCGCCGGUGAAUUUCACAGAUUAGUACGAGGAGGACAAGGCUUGGUCUUUGACCUAUUGAAUUAUCUCCGACCAUUCUAUGAGAUUAAAAGGGUAUAUCCCAUCCAUUGGCUGGAGGAGAAUUGACGG
rnacentral:lncRNA from 1 species